CAGCCGCCGCGGUAAAACGGAGGGGGCUAGCGUUGUUCGGAAUUACUGGGCGCAAAGCGCACGUAGGCGGCUUUGUAAGUUAGAGGUGAAAGCCCGGAGCUCAACUCCGGAAUUGCCUUUAAGACUGCAGAGCUAGCAGGUGAGAGAGGUGAGUGGAAUUCCGAGUGUAGAGGUGAAAUUCGUAGAUAUUCGGAAGAACACCAGUGGCGAAGGCGGCUCACUGGACCAUAACUGACGCUGAGGCGCGAAAGCUAGGGGAGCAAACAGGAUUAGAUACCCGAGUAGUCCCUGUCUCUUAUAC
rnacentral:rRNA from 1 species